ensembl:lncRNA
AUGUAGCUUCUGUGUUUUCCUAAUUUUUUGUUUUCAUGAUAUUUAGCAAUCAUUACUACUUGGAUAUCUUUUGUCUUUUAUUUUUUUUCUUUUACCAUUCUCUCUCUUUCUCUCCCCCACCCCUUACUGUCCUCACUCCAGCCCUCACUCCCACGUGCAUGUGUUUUCUGUAAUCAAUUCAUUUGUAGAAGAGAGAAAAUAGUAUUUAAUAAACACCUUGUGUCAGACACUAUGAUUGUGUAGACGGAUGCUCAUUUAAUCUUCAGAGCAGCCAUGCAUUCCUCAUAACCCUAUUGUAUAAAAAGUGUAUUGUAGGCUCAGAGAGGCCGCAAUUACCCCAAGAUCAGCAGUUAAGACCCUAGUUUCUCUGACAUUCUAUGCAUUUCUAAUGUUACCAUGUUUUAUUAUUAAUACUUUAUAACAUUGCUAACUAUUGCUGGGGGGGGCACUCUUUAAUUUACAUAGUUAUAGCAUGUUUUAUAACUCAGGUCCAAUUACAUUUUAUUCAGAUUCAGAAUUCAUUUCCUAAAUUAUGACAGAUUAUUGGGAGUCUUUCUGACUCAACUUUGCAUUGUUCUCUUUAAAUGUACAAAUAAUAUGGCUAGUUAAUCAAGAAUUGUCUAUUUCUAAAGAUCAGAAGUAAUAUUGAACAGCAUAGUUUUAAGGAAAAUUUCCUGUUGAAUCAAUGUAACAAAGAGUAGGGAAAAUAUACUGUAUGAGUAAAGACAUAGAAUUUUUUACAGAUCUAAUUUUACAAAGAAAGUCAUGUCCUGGCAUUUUGAAUGGGGCUAUAAAUUUAGUGAUAGUUCAGUGGCAAUAAUAGCAUAUUAAAUAGGACUCUUCAUUCCUGAAAUUUUAGGUUUUCUUAAUGGUAGUUGCCAUUACUGGGAGCAACCAACCUUGAGAGUGUAUUUAACUCAGGUUUUGGAGUAAUGCUUGAUAAAAUUUCAAUUUCUGUGACCCAGAAAUAUCGACGUCCUAAUUUUCUGAGUUAAAAACUUUCUUUUUAUGUUUUUGUCCUUGCUUAAAUGGGCAAAUGCUGGUUAAAUGUCUUAGAGAAUACAGUAUUUUCAGGAAAUGACAAGAAGUAUUGAUUUACCUUAUUCUUCUCCCCUCAAGCAGAACAGCCAUAAAAUAUGUUCAAUUUCUUCUCAUUUCUGUCUGCAGAUUACACUGACUUGUGGUGCAGAUGACGAGUGUGGACAUGAUAGGAGGAUAUUGACAGUUUCUGGGAUUUGACUUUAAAGCUUUAGCACUAAAAAGCACACUGACAAAUCCAGCGAUAACUCUAUUCACUUAAUUAUUGUAGUGCUAAACUUUAUUUCUUACUUAUAAAAACGAAUGCAGGCCUGACAAAGAAAAUACAGAUAAGAACCAUUCCUUUUGGAUUGAAAUUUCACGUUUAACAUGAAACCUGCUUUGGAACUAUUUUUGAAAAUUUAAACUAUUCCACAUAUAAUAUAUCAUUACAUUUCGAAAAAUGUAUCAUUAAAUGAAAUUAAUUCAAAUCUGGUAAAAAAAAAAUUUCUGUUCCCAGAUACUGAUUUUUUUUUAAAGGAUAAAAGGUUAAAAUUUAACUUAAUUUGACUUGUAUGUAAUUUUCAAUUAUGUCAACUGCCCUUAGAUUAGUCAAAGGUAAAUGAAUUCUUCCAGGACUAUAAUUUCUCUUGAGGAGUGAUACAGUUUAAUUCUGAGUAACUGAGUUUUUAGGCUUAGAAGCGCCCAUCUGCUCGUUUGCUUCCAGGAGCACCAGUGCUAAUGGACAGGUUUCCAAAGGGCUGCAGUAAAAGACAUGCAUCAUAUAUACUUAUUAUUUCUAUUUAGUUCUGCUUCUGGAGGCCUCUUGUUCUGCCAAUUGCCAUGAUUAUCACCCUUAUCUCUGGCCUGGAGAAUAAGAGAAGCAAUCACAAUUAAGCUACUGAUUGCAGCUGUUGACCGAAAUGCCUACCAGAACUCCAUAUUUCCUCGUCUAUGUCUUAAAACACCAAGUUGCUCCAGUAUUUAUCCUUGGAACUACACAGGUCGAUAGGCAAUUUUUUUUUUUUUUUAGUAUAUUCACUCUUUUAAAAAGGCUACAAUUAAACUUUUGUUAUGCAUUUAGAGUUCUGAGAUCUGACUGGGUUAAUUUGAAUAUUUUGAGAGAUCUGUGUGUCAGUAACAAAAGUUUCUUAGAAGCUUAAAAAGCUAGUUUUUGGCAUCUUAUAUUUUGGUGAUAGAAGAAUGAAGUUCAAUGGAUGGAGAAUCUCCCUUUCCAGCUUGGGUGCCUUUCAUACAUUUGGAGGAGGGGCUGUCAGAGAUGAUGAUUGGCUCCAGUGCUGUUCCCACCCCUCACAUUGUUGUGGACAGUGCUUGGUGCAGCUGCUCACUGUCACCCCAAAACCAUGUUAAGAGAAAAACCUGAAGAUAAACUCUUAUUAUCCUUCAUUGCCCAAAGCAGGACUGGUAACAUGCUUCUUUGAUCCUACACCUUUAUGGUGAAUAUUUGGGUAGCCCAACAUACCAUCUCUCCUGAGGAUGCAGCAUUAGUGAUAGAUGUUAUAAGGUGAUCAGUGUGGCAAGGUGGUCAGAAAGAGAGGCAAGAUGACUGCUCCAGGACAAGAGUGUAUUAUCAGCAGUAAGCUGAAAAUAAUCUGGUUUGCAGUUGGUCAGUCACAUUCAUUCAUUUUAUGUCGAUUCCUGUAAUUGGUUCAGAAGGUGCUUAUUUUUUUUUUUCUGAUGCAAAUUAUAUGGGCUUAUUCUUUCUGUGAAUUUAUUUCUACUGAGACCUGAGGCUGAUUAAAUGUAAGAGGUUUAAUGGAUAUUAGGUUUUUGAAGAGAUGGUGGUUGUGACCAAGGACUUGGAUAAUAAGGCUGAUGAAUACUAGAGAUAUUUGUGAGAAAAGAGAACAGUCUAUGCCCUGGAUCCCCAAGACCAUCCUCAGGCCCAGUUUGCUAGAGGUACUAACAGAACUCAGAAAAGCUGUUAUUCUCACAGUUAUGGUUUAUUACAGCAAAGGAUACAGGUUAAAAUAAGCAAAGAGAAAUAUGGGCAUACCUCAGAGAUAUUGUGGAUUCAGUUGCAGACCACCUGCAGUACAAGCAAAUAUCGCAAUAAAGCAAUUCACAAAUUUUUUUCAUUUCUCAGUGCAUAUAAAAGUUAGGUUUACAUUAUUCUAUGGUCUAUUAUAUGCGCAAUUGCAUUAUGUCUAAAAAUGUAUAUUUAUUAGUUACUAAAAAAUGCUAUCACCUGACAACAUAGGGUUGCCACAAACCUUUAGUUCAUAAAAACCACAAUAUCUGCAAAGCACAGUAAAACUAGGUGUGGCUGUAUAGAGCAGAGCCCAGUUGAGACCGGGUCCUCUUCUCCCAGUGGAGUUGUAGGGACUGGUUCUUAAUUCUCCAGCAGUGAAGUGCGAUGACAUUCAUGGAUUAUUUUCAGCCAGAGACGCUCACUGAGCCUUGGUUUCCAGGGAUUUUGGUGGGGUUUGUGUUGUAGCAUGGAGCACCAGUAUGGAUGGUAGUUGGUCCAUCUUUAGCCCCUCUAGAGGUCAAACUGGCCCAGGCACUAGUUGAACCAAAACAGGUGUUCAUCCUAAAUCACACUGUUCAUGUCGACUAUAUGCUGUGGCCCAAACCUCUAGAUAUAAAAGAUGCUUGGGUAUGCUGAAGGUUAGAAGUUCUGUCUCAGGAGCCAGUCAGAGGCCAGUCCUUUCUUUAGAAUGUACAGAGGUUGAACACACUAGCAUAGCAUGAAUCUGUGCCAGUUAGUUCAUAGGGCCAUGAACUUCAGUUUGACUGUCUGGAUCAAGGUCUUAGAAACAAACAACUGUGAUCACAUAAUGGGUGGAAUCCUCGAAAUAGACAAGCACUGGGGAUGCACAAGCACAUGGCCAAUGGAUUGCACUAUAGUUGGAGCCAAGGGCUCAGAAUCAAUAUAGUUUGUCAGCUUGGGCUGAACUGGUACCAGGAAACGGAUAACAAUAAAAUCUUUGUAACUAGACACUCAUUUCCUAAGCUGAGCACCUGAUCCUUCUGUGUUCUCUACCUGAAGCCAGAAUUAGGGUGGGGUAGGGCAGAGCAAGGAGCUGUAGCAAUGUUGCAGUGGAAGAUAAGGUCAAGGAGCUAUAGCAAACAUCAUUGUUUCAUAACUUUUAUUGUCUCAGAAACAAUGAGAAAACAGGUACUUUCACUGACACUCCCUGGUGCCUUUGAGGGAGAAUCUCUCAAAAUUUCUCAAUAAUGGUUUGUAUUAAUAUUAGCUGUUUUUAAAUCUCUGGACCUCAGUUUUCUCUUUUGUAAAAUGAGGAGGAGUGACUACAUCAUUUCUAAGGUUUCUUUUUUUUUUCUAUUAUAAUUUUACAAAGAAGUACCCAAGAAAAACCACUUACAUCAAUAUGUUUCUGACCUUUUACAGGGUAUUAUAUUGUUCUCUUCGGUUUUCCUUUACCUUUUCCAUCUUGGCUUGGCUGCUCUGCUUUGCUAAGUAGUAAGCAUUUCUUCUGGAAACAUACCCCUGCUGUACUGUGCACUCAGGUGGGGCGAGGACGUGGUUAAGGAAUUCCCCGAAUGAACUGCAGCUGUGACUGACGGCAGGCUGAGCCCUGCCGCUUGGCCAAGGGAUCGCCAGCCUGGCUCCUGGAGUCGUCAGGGAAACUGAUCUCGUUUCUGGUCUGUAGAAGCGUAGGUAAGUGCUUCAACCAGGCUGUACAAGUUUAAAGAGAUUGGAGAUGAUGGAUUAGGGCUAUAUGUGUUUGCUUUUAUUUAUUUUCCUCUUCUCUUUCCCUUCCUCCCUCUUUCUCUCUCAACAUUUACUGUGUGCCUACAGUGUGCUGAGCACUGAGAGAUGUGAAUGAAACAGAGAAAUCCCUGCCCUCAAAGAGCUUAGAGUGAACAAAUAGUAAAGUAGGUAAUAUAACAUAUAUUGAUAUUUUUAUG